CAGUAUAAAUCAGCAAGUCAGCCAAGAAAUAAAGAGAAUAAAUGAGAUCUGUAUGCAGCUUACCAAUCUCUGUGUACUGUUAUUAUAGGGAAAAAGCAAAUCAGUUGAACACAAAGAGGACACUGGGAAAUGGCACGACAAUGAUUUACAGCAGAUUUCCCAGAUCACCAAAUCACUUGAAAGCUUAGGGACACAUCUGUGUAUGUUGCUGGGCUGCUAUGACUGUUGAAUUCUGGGGAAUAAUUUACUCGGUGGAGCACAGGCAUCAAAGUUACAGCCUGCAGUUAUUGUGAACUACAACUCCCAACAGCCUCAGUUACUCCCGAGUAUGCUGGAAAUCAUAGUUCACGUGAGCUGGAGAUGCGGCUUUGGCAUGCCUGGUUUAAGAGACAGUAAGACAUGAGGAGGCCAAUUCACUAACAUGGAUGCUGAGUUGCACCAAUGUUACCAUAGCAACCAAUUUAGUGGUGGCCAGUCAUGUUGGGAAACAAGAGUAAGGAUCUGAUUGGUUACUAAUGGCAGCUGCACUGAUUCAGUUGAAAGUUAGAAAAGCAGCCCAAAGAUAUCUAUGAUUUUAUUGCUCUGUUAAAAAUGUCUAUAUUUGAAUAUGUCUGUAUUAU